UGUGUGCGGCCCACAGCCCGGAAGCGGGGCGCCGGUGGGGGCCGGGCGGCGCGGCGGCCCCUCUCCGAGCCCAUUGUUUGCGGGGCGCACGGCCACACGCGCUCGACGAGAAGUCUGCACAUCCUGCCGCCGCUCUUGCCCGGCGACCGCCAGACAAACAGCGGUCCCUCCGCUCGCGGAGGAGGAGCGCUCUUAAUGCGAUGCCCGGGCCCAGAGUGACACCCGGAGCCUUUCGGGGAAGGCCCCUCUCUUUGUUUCAGCCCUGGCCUUGAUGUGUAUCGUUUAUGAUUCUCGCGCUACCAGGACAGUUGGUUUGUCAUCUGUAGAGCAAUGGAAUGGCAGUCCAUCUAAUUCGACCUGCAAUUCUCAGUUCAUUUAACUAGGUCAGCGGCUGGUAUGCUGGAGAUUGUGUCCCCAGCAAUUCCUGACUUCUCUGCUGAUUUGGGUCUAGAAAGUUGGAAAAAAUUCCAAAGAGGAUAAGAUCCCCUGUUGGCCCCAUAAAUCUCUUGAGAUGUCUCCGAGGCCACACCAACCUCCUGCCUGGACUCUACAUGCAUUCACCUCUAUCCCAGACAAGUGAGAGAAAAGGACAGAGCCUGGAGAAUGUCUUAAUUCUCUCAAUUCUUCCUUUGACUACACAAGCAACAGCUGUCUAGUUGCCUGCACAGGACUGGAUCUAAUGCCUCUACAGAAAUCUAGGUCAAAACACUUGGAAUGCAUGAAUAUCAAACAGAGUUUUCAAAACAGCAAAUGAAUACAUCUUUAACUGGUGACAUUUUCCUGUAGCAUAUGGCUGCAAGCUCAGGGGACUGGAUGCUUUUUGAUGAAUAUGUUCCAUCAAAAACUAAGGGAUGGCAGUAGUCUUUUGCCACCUUCUGUUUUGCCUUAUGAAAUGAUAAUGCAAACUCAUAGAUAGAUACAAUGAUCACAAGGCUUUUACCUUCAGACCUAUCCUAAAGAUGCAUUUUCUUUUUUG